GCACUUCUGAGGAGUCCCACAAUAGGACUAGACGACCGUCCAGUGC
rnacentral:hammerhead_ribozyme from 1 species